UACGUAGGUGGCAAGCGUUGUUCGGAAUUAUUGGGCGUAAAGGGUGAGUAGGCGGUUUGUUAAGUCGGUUGUUGAAAGCCCGGGGCUCAACCCCGGAGGGUCGACCGAUACUGGCAGGCUAGAGUACAGAAGAGGUAACUGGAAUUCCCGGUGUAGCGGUGAAAUGCGUAGAUAGUCGGAGGAACACCUGAGGCGAAGGCGGGUUACUGGGCUGAUACUGACGCUGAAUCACGAAAGCUAGGGGAGCAAACGGG
rnacentral:rRNA from 1 species